rnacentral:rRNA from 1 species
GAUGAACGCUAGCGGCAGGCCUAACACAUGCAAGUCGAGGGGUAGAAGUUGCUUGCAACUUUUAUACCGGCGCAGGGGUGCGUAACGCGUAUGCUAUCUACCUUAUACUAAGGGAUAACCCAGAGAAAUUUGGAUUAAUACCUUAUAGUUAAUUGAAAAGGCAUCUUUUUAAUUAUAAAGAUUAAUUGGUAUAAAAUGAGCAUGCGUCCCCCUAUUUAGUUGGUGUGGUAACGCCAUACCCCGACAAUAAUGGGGAGGGGGCCUGAGAGGGAGAUCCCCCCCACUGGUACUGAGACACGGACCACACUCCUACGGGAGGCGGCAGUGAGGAAUAUUGGUCAAUGGGCGCAAGCCUGAACCACCCAUGCCGCGUGCAGGAUGAAACAUCUAUGGUGUGUAAACUGCUUUUGUACAGGAAAAAACACCUCUACAAGUAGAGACUUGACGGUACUGUAAAAAUAAGGAUCGGCUAACUCCGUGCCACCAGCCGCGGUAAUACGGAGGAUCCAAGCGUUAUCCGGAAUCAUUGGGUUUAAAGGGUCCGUAGGCGGCUAUAUAAGUCAGCGGUGAAAGUUUUUGGCUUAACCAAAAAAUCGCCCAUUGAUACUGUAUGGCGUGUAUAAUUGUGAAGUAACUAGUAUAUGUAGUGUAGCGGUGAAAUGCAUAGAUAUCACAUGGAAUACCAAUUGCGAAAGCGGGUGACUAACAAUAUAUUGACACUCAUAGACAAAAGCGUGGGUAGCGAACAGGAUUAGAUACCCUGGUAGUCCACCCCGUAAACGAUGGAUACUAGCUGUUUGGGUGUAAGCGUGAGUGGCUAAGAGAAAGUGAUAAGUAUCCCACCUGGGGAGUACGUUCGCAAGAAUGAAACUCAAAGGAAUUGAGGGGGGCCCGCACAAGCGGUGGAGCAUGUGGUUUAUUUCGGUGAUACGCGAGGAACCUUACCAGGGUUUAAAUGUAGUUUGACCGCUUAGGAAAAUAGGUUUUCGCAAGACAAAAUACAAGGUGGUGCAUGGUUGUUGUCAGCUCGUGCCGUGAGGUGUCAGGUUAAGUCCUAUAAAGAGCGCCACCCCUGUUUUUAGUUGCCAGCACGUAAUGGGGGGAACUAUAACAAGACCCCCAGUGUAAAGUGCGAGGAAGGUGGGGAUGAUGUCAAAUCAUCACGGCCCUUACGUCCUGGGCCACACACGUGCUACAAUGGGCGGUACAGAGAGCAGCUACCUAGUGAUAGGAUGAGAAUUUAUAAAACCGUUCUCAGUUCGGAUCGGAGUCUGCAACUCGACUCCGUGAAGCUGGAAUCGCUAGUAAUCGGAUAUCAGCCAUGAUCCGGUGAAUACGUUCCCGGGCCUUGUACUCACCGC